ACAAUUGUCACAAGUACAGGCCCUCACUCCUUCUGAAACCUUCUCUCUUCCUAAGCCAGCCUCUAGGUAGCAUUUCCCUGGGGUCCCAGGUUAUCUUUCUAAGGAACAAGGUCAGGUCACAGAAGACUGCGCUUAUUUGCUUGGGUGUCUAGGAAUUCGCAGUUUUACGUUACUUCCAGGAAGUGUUGCAGACAGCCCUGAAAUGGCUUUGUGUGAAAUUUUGCCCACUUUGCUAGGUGUUCAUUUUAACAAAUGUCUAUUGAGACUCCACUGCAGGCCAGGCACUGUUUAGGCUCUGAGGGCGCAGCAGUGAAUAAAAUAGCAUUCCUGCCGUCAGGGCUGACAUUUUUGUUGGGGGAAGCCGACAAUAAACAAGUAAAUGUCAGAUGUGUCAGGAGGUGAUAAUGCGAUAGGAAAAAGGAAGACUUUGAGAAGGUGGAGGAGGAGUGGAGGCCUGGAAGGGGUGGGUGGUUGCUGUUUUACAUAGAUGACCAGGGAAGAUCUUACUAAUGUGUUGAUAUUUUGAGCAGACAGUGGGUUGGUAUUCAUUCACUGACUUGUUUACAUUUUUUUGGCCAUUUAUUGAAUGCUUACUAUGUUCCAGGCACUGUUUUAGGCCCAGUGGAUAGAAUGGUGAACAUGAUGAGCUUCCUGCUUAUGUUCUAGUGGUUGAGGAAAAGAUAGACGUUAGAAAAAAAGACUGAGGGAAUGAACAGAGUGCUGUGCUGGAUCAAGGGGCAGAAGUGGUAUUGCUGGAACCCUUGCAGAAGAGCCACCUGACAGGAGCUGCAGAUUUGAAGAGUCCUGUAAGAUGAAAAUGAUCGGUGAAGACACAAAAACCCACUGGGCUAAGGCAUGCAGAGUCCCUGAAAGCAGACAGCUCUACCAAGAGAGCGGAAACCGCUGUAGGCCAUUGGCAAGCCUUCCAAUAAAGAGGUAGUUUCUCCCUGAGCUCAAACCAUCCCUCUGGGUGGGAAGACAUGGCUUCUGAAGUUUCAGCCUGACAGCCAUAUUAAGUUAAAGGCCGCUCUGCCUGAAGGCUGGUGUGUCACCUUUGGGAGGGGCAGUAAAAACAUGACUCUGCUUCAGUGAGUCCUCUCUGACCCCUGAGUAGAUGGACUGUUAACAGCGUUGCGGACAGAAGCCCCUGUGCUGGUGGUCUGGCUGUCCCCUCUCCUUAAGCAGUCUGUUGGGGGGUCACCUGGGUGAGUGAUGGUGUCUUAGCCUGUCAGCGCUGCUGUAACAAAAUACCCCAGACUGGCUGGCUUAGAAACAGCUGUGAGAAGUGUGUUUCUUACAGUCCUGAAGGCCAUCGUGGUGGGUGGGGGCCGUCUUCCUGGUCACAGACUUCUCCCCGCAUCUCACAAGGUGGAAGGGAGGAGGAAGCUCUGUGUGUGUGUGUGUGUGUGUGUGUGUGUGUGUGUGUGUUUUCUUAUAUCAGGGCACUAAUCCCAUUCCUGGGGCUCCACCCUCAUGACCUAGUCACCUCCCGAAGCCCCAGCUGCUAAGACCAUCAUCUUGGAGGAUGAGGAUGUCCACAUAUGAAUUUUGGGGGAACGCAAACAUCCAGGCCGUGGUAGAUGGUGUGAAAGAAAAAAGACUGUUGAACUUCUUUACAUAUGUUCAUGUUAUUCUCUAACCUUAGUCCUACGAGAAAGAAAGAAAUUGACCUGAACUAACAAUUCAUUUGGGAAUUUCCAUCAGAAGCUGUUUUCUAACUAUAAGAGUUGGGUCUGAUGUAUAAACUUUGUUUUUGUUAGCUGGGUCAUCAUCAGUUGUAAAUAAUUUAUAAUGAAUAUGUUCAUUAAAUGUUUAUCUAAAAAAUAACUGAAACUGUAUCAUCAUUAAUUUCAAGUAGUAUUAGAGAGAGCCACCCCAUCACAAAUGAAUGAAAACUUUUCUAAAAUAAGAUUUUCUGUUGUAUAAAUAUUCACUUAGCAUGUCCAUUACUAUACUCUUCUGUGGACCUCUUUUCUUUUUACUGAGAAAGCAAAGUAAUUACAUGUGCUUAGAACCAGUAAUUACAUGUGCUUUGGUUAUUGGUUGCCUAGAAUAAGAGUUUAUCCAGUCAUCACCAAGCUAACCGGAAAUUGAAGAGUUCUCAGUAAUGGAAAUGAAUGCUAUUUCUUCUGUUGUCUGAAACGUGAAUGUAUAUUUGAGAGAGCUUUGCCUGAAGGCUAAGUUGGAAAAUGCUAACCAUAGAAAAAUUUACUCUUCUAAUGAAUAAACUCACCUUUCUU